CCUGGCCAGAGUAUUAAAAUCGAGGGUUCCGUGAUUUUUUUCAUUUUGAACAUUCCAACCUCGAGAUUAGGCGAUUUGUGAGAGGGAUUUCCAAGGGAUUCUUGAGGUAAGUCACUUGUGGUUAAAUUUAUUCAAUAAUUAUGUUUCCCCUUUGAAUUUCCCAUCUAGAUUGUAUGGUUUUGAGGUGUAAUUUUGGGAGUUGAAGCUAGGGAUUUGGAGAGUGUAAAUUGGCGAUUUGGGUAUCGAAUUGGUAUUGAAUUUUGAUAAAUUUGGUAUGGUUAGACUCGUGGUUGGAUGGGCUUUUAGAUUUUAUAAAUUUUAUUGGAUUUCGAGACGUGGGCCCGGGAGGCGACUUUUGAGUUGACUUUUAGACUUUUGAUUAAGAACUUAGUAUUUUCUUAUGGAAUUGAUUCUUUUAGCACGUGUUGAUUGUAUCGAACUGUUUGUGGCUAGAUUCGAGGAAUUCAGAGGCCGUUUCGCGAGGCAAGGGCGUGUUGGAAUAAGGAUUUGUACGGUUUGAGGUAAGUAACACUUCUAAACUUGAUUGUGGGGUAAAAAAACCCCAAAUUUCGUAUUAUAUGAUUGGUGUUGAAGUGACGCAUGUGCUAGGUGGCGGGCAUGUAGGAGUGAUACGUAAGAAUUGUGACUUGGUCAAUUCCAUGAAAUUAAAUAGUUGAUUAAUCUUGCAGUUACCCGUAUUUUUACCAUAUGUUAGAGCUAUUGAGCUGUCGGUCAUGUUAGAAAUCAUGUGCUUAGGCUGCAUGUUGGUACUGUUGGCCCCUCAGAGGUCGUGUUACAUGUUGAAUCAUUUUCUCUAAUUGCCAUUUGUAUUCGAUCACAGCUAUUAUUUGCAUAUUAUGUCUCAGUCUCUAUUGUCAUUUACAUGAUACAUCAUAUCAUUAUUGUUUGGGAUGAAUAACAUGAUUCUGGUGAACCCGAGAGACUGGAGAGAUUGGUGACUGUGUGAGACUGAGAGUCUAAUGUGAGUUAUCUUUAUGGGACCGGGCUGCACGCCAUAUCAUGCUUUAUUGAUUCAUGCCAGGAUUUGUCUUAUUAUAGCGAUUUGGCUGGAUUGGCUCCUCCGGAGUCUGCGCAUCCACAGUGGGCGCAAUUUCUAGCAGUUAUUUAUAUUUUAGCUGGAUCUGCCGUGGUUUAUUUGCAUUUGGGCUGGAUCUGCCCUGUUUUACUUGUAUUUGGGCUGGAUCUGCCCUGUUAUGUGUUGAGUUUUAUUGUAAAUCUGAAAGCAUGUCUAAAUUCUUGUAUCUCUACAUGUUAAAUUAUGAAUUUCUGAGUUAUCACUGUCAUAUUUUUUGUAACUUUCCGUACUGUUAAAUGUUUAAAGUGGGCCGUAAUAUGUGAACUCGUCACUACUUUCAGUCCAAAGAUUAGAUUUGUUACUUAUUAAGUUGGUUGUACUCACGCUACACCCUGCACCUAGUGUGCAGAUCCAGGCAAUUCGGGUCACGGCGGUUGCUGAUUUGCUGAGUCCAGACCUUCGGAGAUCAUCAAGGUAGCUGCUUGGCGUCCGCAGACCUUGACUCUCCUCCCUUGUCUUUCUGUUUAAGAUAAAGUC
rnacentral:lncRNA from 1 species